ACUAUUUUGACAGAAUAAUGUGUUGGAUUUAGAAUUCAUUUAUGUAGAUUGUUUCUACAAAUAGUA
rnacentral:tRNA from 5 species